rnacentral:rRNA from 1 species
GACAGAGGGUGCAAACGUUUGUUCGGAAUUACUGGGCGUAAAGAGCGCGUAGGCGGCUCGUUAAGUGAGAAGUGAAAGCUGUGGGCUCAACCCACAAACCGCUUUUCAUACUGGCGAGCUGGAGUGAUGCAGAGGUGGAUAGAAUUCCCGGUGUAGCGGUGAAAUGCGUUGAUAUCGGGAGGAAUACCCGUGGCGAAGGCGGUCCACUGGGCAUCAACUGACGCUGAGGCGCGAAAGCGUGGGUAGCAAACAGG